UACGUAGGGUGCAAGCGUUUAAUCGGAAUUACUGGGCGUAAAGCGUGCGCAGGCGGUUUUGUAAGUCUGACGUGAAAUCCCCGGGCUCAACCUGGGAAUUGCGUUGGAGACUGCAAGGCUAGAAUCUGGCAGAGGGGGUAGAAUUCCACGUGUAGCAGUGAAAUGCGUAGAUAUGUGGAGGAACACCGAUGGCGAAGGCAGCCCCCUGGGUCAAGAUUGACGCUCAUGCACGAAAGCGUGGGGAGCAAACAGG
rnacentral:rRNA from 1 species